rnacentral:rRNA from 1 species
AUUGAACGCUGGCGGCAGGCCUAACACAUGCAAGUCGAGCGGAUGAAGGGAGCUUGCUCCUGGAUUCAGCGGCGGACGGGUGAGUAAUGCCUAGGAAUCUGCCUGGUCGUGGGGGAUAACGUCCGGAAACGGGCGCUAAUACCGCAUCCGUCCUGAGGUAGAAAGUGGGGGAUCUUCGGACCUCACGCUUUCAGAUGAGCCUAGUUCGGAUUAGCUAGUUGGUGGGGUAACGGCUUACCAAGGCGACGAUCCGUAACUGGUCUGAGAGGAUGACCAGUCACACUGGAACUGAGACACGGUCCAGACUCCUACGGUAGGACGCAGUGGGGAAUAUUGGACAAUGGGCGAAAGCCUGAUACAGCCAUGCCGCGUGUGUGAAGAAGGUCUUCGGAUGGUAGAGCACUGUAAGUUGGGGGAAAGGGCAGUAAGUUAAUACCUGGCUGUUUUGACGUUACCAACAGAAGAAGCACCGGCUAACUUCGUG